AUUAAAAAAUUUUACCUAUAAUUAUAUACCAGGUACACUAUGAAUUUUCUCAUUAAUACUAAUAACAUUUCUAUGAUUGUCUCUAUGAGACAAGAGGUAUUAUUUGUCUUCUCAUUUUAGGGAUGAUAAUAAUUACCUAGAGCCAAGAAUUGAACACAGUUCUACAGGACUAGAAAAUUGUCCUUUUAAUGAGCUAAAUAAUAAAUACAGAUUAAUAACUGGUGUUUUAGAAACUAAAUCAGUGAUGCUACUUCCCUGGUGGUCCAGUAGCUGAGACUCUAUGCUCCCAGUGCAGGGAGCCUGAGUUUGAUCUGUGUUCGUCGAACUUGAUCCCACAUCUUUAGCUGCAACUAAAGAUACCACAUGCUUCAAUGAAGAUGGAAUAUCAUGCAUGCCAUGACUAAGUCCGACACAGCCAAAUAAAAAAAAAAAAUUGGUGAGAAAUACAAACAACUACAGAAAAAUGAGCAAUGGUUAAAGAUAGACAAAUAGUUUUUAAAUAUAUGAAAAUCACAACAGCUUUACUUAAUAAUAAAACCAUGAUUAAAUACCAUAGCACUAAUGUGAUUACUAAAGACGAGAAAGCUUAAUAACACCUGGUGAAGUUCAUAGCAGCAGGCAGAAAAGCAGAAAAGGUGAAGUAAACCAAUCAGCUUGAUGAGGAUCUUGUGAGAAAGAGGGGCUAGAGUCAUUUCUGUCAGGUUCUGUUCGACAAGUAAGUUCACAGAAAAAAGAGAGAUCCUGCCACCCCAGGAGUUCAUAGUCUGGUGGGAGGACACAGAUACAUAAGUGAAAGUGCAUGAUACAGACUGUGAAAAGAGUACGUUCACAAGCCAUGCUUCCUAGUUUAAAAGGAAAAAAAUGCGGACUUCCCUGGUGAUCCAGUGGUUGGAGAACCUUGACGUUUCGAUCCUUGGUCCAGGAAGAUCCCACAUACUGCGGGACAACCAAGUCUGUGGCCACAACUACUGAGGCCGUAUACUCUAGGACCCAUGGUCCACAACAGAAGAAGCCCCUGAAGUGAGAAGCCAGCGCGCUGCAAUGAAGAGUAGCUGCAGCUCUUCGCAGUUAGAGAAAGUCAUGUGCAGCAGUGAAGACCUAGCACAGCCAUAAAUAAAUAAAUAUUAAAAAUAGAAAAAAUGCAACUAUUCUUAGAAGCCAAGUGAAAUGCAGUAGAGUCAUAUUUUCAAGAGUAGCAAAACAGAACAAUCUCCGCAAGUCUUGAGAUUUGACUCAAUCUUGCAUAGUUUAGUUUUUUUUUUUUACUCCGAGAAAAUACCUACUAAUCAGUUUUCCCUCUUCUGCAAAAAUAAGUAAGCACUUUUAUAAGUUGGACUUGAGUAUCAGCAUUAUGUCUGUGAAACAGCUCUCUGGGAGAACCUUAAAAAGGAUGUGAAAGCAAAAGAGCUGUCUCUAAGUUAAAUUUACAUUUUAUGAUAAUUUAGGAAUUUUCUGUUCGUGUUUCACUUAUGCAGCUGGAUUUUGACACUUUUAGGGCUGGGGUCACAUGUCAGGUACUUUUGUAUUCCCAUUCCUCACUCAGAGAAAAGCUGUGGAAUGAAUGAACAAGCUGGCUUCUGUAGCUUCUCUCUCUUUUCUUUUAUCAGCAAAUGAGCAGUGCACGCCUGUGUGGAAGGAGUUUUUAAGCAGAACUCAUGCAUUGUGCAGCUACUGAAUGAUCAACAGAUGCUCAACAAUACUGUGACAUUGUAAAUAAAUAUUUUUGCAGUGGCAGCUGCUUCUGACAAAAAAAAACCCUAGACAUUAAAAAAAAAGCUAGACGUGA